rnacentral:rRNA from 1 species
GCUUCGCCCUAAACACAGAUGGCAAAAACACAAUGCCAUUCGCCAGAGAACUACAAGUGAAAAACUAAAAACUCCAAGGACUUGGCGGUACUCCAUACCGACCUAGAGGAGCCUGUCCUAUAAUCGAUACCCCACGUUUUACCUUACCAUUCCUAGUAAAUCAGCCUAUAUACCGCCGUCGUCAGCUUACCCUGUGAAAGACCAACAGUGAGCAAAAUAGUCAUGAACUAACACGUCAGGUCAAGGUGUAGCACAUGGAAUGGAAGAGAUGGGCUACAUUUUCUGCCACAGAAAACACGCACAUUACGGUGAAACCCCGGCCUUUAAGGAGGAUUUAGCUGUAAGCCAGACAAGAGAGUCUGCCUAAACCCCGCUCUGGAGUGCGC